rnacentral:tRNA from 1 species
GUCCGGCUAGCUCAGUCAGUAGAGCAUGAGACUCUUAAACUCAGGAUCGAGGAUUCAAGCCCCACGUUGGGCG